UUGCCUACGGGGGGCAGCAGUGGGGAAUAUUGCACAAUGGGCGCAAGCCUGAUGCAGCGACGCCGCGUGAGGGAUGACGGCCUUCGGGUUGUAAACCUCUUUCAGCAGGGAAGAAGCGCAAGUGACGGUACCUGCAGAAGAAGCGCCGGCUAACUACGUGCCAGCAGCCGCGGUAAUACGUAGGGCGCAAGCGUUGUCCGGAAUUAUUGGGCGUAAAGAGCUCGUAGGCGGUUUGUCGCGUCUGCUGUGAAAACGCGAGGCUCAACCUCGCGCCUGCAGUGGGUACGGGCAGACUAGAGUGCGGUAGGGGAGACUGGAAUUCCUGGUGUAGCGGUGGAAUGCGCAGAUAUCAGGAGGAACACCGGUGGCGAAGGCGGGUCUCUGGGCCGUAACUGACGCUGAGGAGCGAAAGCAUGGGGAGCGAACAGGAUUAGAUACCCGAGUAGUC
rnacentral:rRNA from 1 species